AUACGGAGGAUGCAAGCGUUAUCCGGAUUUAUUGGGUUUAAAGGGUGCGUAGGCGGUUUGCUAAGCGGGAGGUGAAAUGCCGGCGCUCAACGUCGGAAGUGCCUCCCGAACUGGUGGACUGGAAUGACUCUGCCGUGGGAGGAAUGUGUAGUGUAGCGGUGAAAUGCUUAGAGAUUACACAGAACACCGAUUGCGAAGGCAUCUCACGAAGGGCUGAUUGACGCUGAGGCACGAAAGCGUGGGGAUCAAACAGGAUUAGAUACCCUGGUAGUCCACGCAGUAAACGAUGAUGGCUAACCGCUGGUUUUUUCGGAUCAGUGGCCAAGCGAAAGCGAUAAGCCAUCCACCUGGGGAGUACGACCGCAAGGUUGAAACUCAAAUGAAUUGACGGGG
rnacentral:rRNA from 1 species